rnacentral:lncRNA from 1 species
CCCACUUGAAGCAAGGUGAUCAAGAACCAGAGGGGCUGGGGUGCUAGAUGUGCCACUGUGCCCCAGCCUGGGCAACAGAGCAAGACCCUGUCUCAAAAAACAAAGUAUCCCUGAGGUCCUCUCCCAUUCCCACUCCCCGUGUCCCCCACCUGUGGUCAGGGAACUGUGGGGGAUGAUGAGGUAAGCCAAGGAGACCAGAGGAGUAAACAGGCAUUGCAUGUAGCACUAUCCACACAGCAGC